CACCUUCAGCCUGAAAAAUUUCUGUGGUGGCUUGUUGCAGCUGUGGUACGUUUUUGUAUUCAACUGUUGAAUUGAAGGCAUCCACAUUCUUGGUAAGAUCUGCAUCUGUAAUUAUUUGCUUAUCUGAUGCAUGUACAGGGACUGCAUCUAGGUUUUGUGCGACCUUUGUGACAUCAAUACUAUUGAGUCUUUCAACACACAAUUCAACAUCGGUCUGUGUUCUUUCCAUGUCUGAAUAUUUGAAAUCUGAUAAAAUGGGUAGCUCAUUGUGUUGAGUUGGGGUAUAUUUAUCUUUAGAGCCUUGUGCUGCCUCACUUGAAGAACCCUGAAGCAUGUUAGAUGGCGUGACCUUAUCGUUAUUUUCUAUAAAUUCAUUGCAAUUAUCAACGGUUACUUUUUCUUCUUCACAAAUUGCAUCUUUAGCAUCUGAGACAGCCUCUGAAGAAUUUUUUGGUAGCUUUUUUUCUAUUUCCUGCCUGAGAGUUGCUGGCAUGUGGUCCUGUUGAAUUAUAUCAAAUUCUUUUCCACAACUUGAAUCCUUUUGUUCCGUGCUUUCAUUUGGAUCUAUCUCUGCUAGAUUUUCUUUAUUUGAUAGUGCAAUGAAUUUUUCAUCCAACUCUUGCAUAUCCCCAGUUAUAUUGCUAGCUCUUUGAAGAUCUACUGGACCAACCUCCUCUGUUUUUCCCAUUUCAGAAGCCUGGAUGUGGGGUAGAUGAGGUAAGUGCUGAAGUUUGACGAGUUGAUCUUGAGUUUCUUGAUCAUCAACAGCUAACAACAUUACUUCUGCAGAUCCCUGCAUGAUUUUUGAUGUUGAAAUGGUGCAUUCCAUGGAAGUGGAUGCCUCUGUCAUUUCUUUGUAAUCGUCAUUUUCCUUUCUCUCUUCUCCAUAUUGUACUCCCAUUGUUUCUACAUCACUGGAAGCAGUUCCAGCUUUUGAUUCAUGCAUUUCAGCAUUUACUGUUAUUGCUUCAGAGUUAUGUUCCAUUGGUUGAAUGCGUUUGCUGACUGCAGGUGUUAUGACUUCUCCACUUUCAUUUGGACAUGUAGCUUCAGAAAUCUCUCUCUUGGUUGUGCCAUUAAAGAUUUUCUCUAGCAUUCUAAUAUUUGUGGAGUUUUCAUUGUCUUUUGCAAUACCCAAGACCCUAUCACUAUGUGAUAUUUCUGAUGUGUCGUUGCUGUGAGAUGAAAAAUCAGGCUUCUCAUUUUCAUCUUCAGUUUGUCUGCUACAAGUAUCAGUUUCACCCACUAUAACCUCUCCUUCUCCUGCUGAAAGCAUUACUUGUUCCUGCAACAGACCUCUGCUUAUUAGUAGUUAUUGCUAAUGAUGUAGUUUGAUGGUGGCAAAGUUUUUAUAUUUUACCUCGCCCUUUUCUUGUACUCUGUUGGAUAUGCAAACUCCAUAUUUCAGUUGCUUGUCUAUUUUAAAUUGAUGCUGGUUUUUGUCCUGCCGUUCAUCUCUUUCUUCAGCUCCUAAAGAUUCAGAGAUGGUCAGCUUCUCAUGUUUUCUUUCAGUGCCCUCUUUCUCUCGCGUAAUAAUUUCUUUGUUAUCAUCACAAGUCUCAAUGGUUUCAUAAAUCAAUUUUGUAGGUGCAGCUUCAGAUUUUAUAUUUUCAUUAUCCUGUGGUUUUCCUGCAGCUGUGUCUCCCAUAGGAGGAAAAUUGAUGUUUCUAUUUUGUAGUCCUGUAUCCUUGUUAGCUCCUGUUCUGUCCUCACCAUGCUCUGGAAAUGCUACCUCUGAGCCUUUAACCUAUAUGACAAGAAAAUCAUACACAAAAAUUAAAAUCUAAUGAGGAAUUAAAAGCCUAUGUAGGAGAAUUUUAUUUUAGGGAAUUGCUUCUGUUGAACUCUAAAAAACAACAUGAUAUUGAGUCCGUAAUAUUUAUAUAUAGAACUCUUCCAAGUUGCAACUUAUUCUUGUAACCGACCAAAGAAGACAAAAUAAUAUUGAAAGGGUGAAAUAGGAUUAUUUAUCUUUUGGAAUUUUCCGCCUACUGAAAAUUGUGCAAUCAGAGGUUAUAAGAGGGAUAAAAGUAAUGUAUCUGACUGAACUCUUCACUUAAUACCUCUCUUUCAGUAUCUACAUUUCCCUCCUCUUUUACAUGGAGGAUUUCAUCAAUUGAUUCCUUUGGCUCUUCGACAGCCUUGUCGUCAAAUGCAAUACGUUCCCUGACAUUCUCGUUGAUAUAAGCCUCUUCAAAAUUUUCAGACACCUGCAUAAUGUAUAAAACAUGAGCAAUAUAGAAGAAAAUAUUGUUGAAGGAAAUAUAAUAACAUUUACUUUGUCUCUGACCUUUUCAUUUGCACACUUUAUAGCUUCUUCCGUCUUUACUUUUGGAUCUUCUUCCAGCUUUUCCUCACCCUCUUGGCAUCUUUCUGCAAUUGUUGCUUCCGUUGGAGAUCCAAGCUGGCUAUCCUCCACAGCUUCAUCUCCAUCCUUGAUCUGCUUUUCCCCUAUCCUCAGUUAGUACAUUUAAAUACAUAUAAUAUUCUAUCAGACAGAAAGAAUGAACAAAUAUUUUCCUAAACCUUAUCACUUGGCAUGUCGAUUUUCUUGCUUUCAUUUGCUUCAAAAUUUUCCUCAGCCACAAUUUUCCCAGCUCUUAUUUCCUCUUUUGCUGCCUCAAGAUUCUCUUUCUCUGAUUUCAUAUGUCCUCCUCUUACGAUUACUUCAAAACUUUGAACUUGGGUCUCAGAUCCAAUAACCUUUUCCAGCUUAUCUGGCUGAAGAAUUUCUAAAUUAGAAUCAACCAAAUUAUCAACUUCGUCCUUUUUUGUACUAUUAUUCAGACUGUCCUCAUCUUUCAAUUUCUUGUCUCCGUGUUCUAUGCUUUCCUCAUUCUCUCCAUGAUCAUUGUUCUCUGCGCUCUGAAGUUUGUUAUCACAUGACUGUACCUUGGAAAGCAAUUCCAGCGAUUUCUCCUGAAGUUUUUGUUUUACCUGAUCACAGGUUAAAUUAUCUUCAAUCACAGCUCUCUCAUAUUUGGUCUCAAAGCCUUUUCGAUAAUCUCUGUCUGUUUCCUUCUCACUGUUUUCUGCAUUAUUCUUUGUCAAAGUUGGAAACUCCCGAUAUGUGAGUUCUUCUACGUUCUGAUCAUUUGACUUGUAUGCUUCUCCAGCCUUAUUCUCUACAUCUGCAAAUUCAACUUCGUUGGAUUCUGAUUUUUUGACAACUGCACUUCCAGUGUCUGCAUGGUGAGCUUCAACUGUUUCGGAUUGAGGUACUGAGGCAGUAUCUUCUGCAACCCCUUCACUCUUAACUUCUUGAUCUUCUAUGUCAUCAGAAGUUGUAUUGAUGAUUUCUGGAGUUUCAUCACGUGAAUUAGUACACUUUUCAUUGUCACUAAUUUCCCCCCCACUCGUUUCUUUCUUCAUCACAGUACUUGGUGUAGCGUCAGCCUUGUCAUUGAACUUAUUUGCUUCUCCUUCAACUUUGAAGUUAAGAUUCUCAUCUGGGGCUUCAGACACUGAUCCUGUGACAUGCAUGUCUCUUUCCUCUACCAAGGUCAGGGCUUCAGAACCAAAGUCUGAACUUUUCAGCUUUCCCGCUUCCACCUCUUCUUCUUUCUCUUCCUUCAUUUUUGCUCCUUUGUCUUCAAUAGGUUCUGUUUUCUCCGCAUGCAACUCUUCUUUGUGGAUUGUUAGCUCUUUGUCUUUAGUAGAAUGAUCUUCCACAUGUGUGGUUUCCUCAUAGUUUGCUUCAUCUAACACGUUUUUAUCCAAUGCCGGUAGAGAGGCUACCUCCAACUCCUGCAUCACCUGAUUGUCAUCAGAACUAGCAAUGCACAAUGGAGCAUCCUUUUGUGUAAUUUCCAUAGGCGAAUCAAUGGUUUGUGCUAAAAUGUGAAUGCCUUCACGUUGAUUCACUGUUUCUUUUUCUUCACCCUCCUGCAUUGUCUCUGUACUAGAUUCUGGAAGAGGGUUGGAAUGUGAGAUUACAUCCAUUGCCACAAACCUCGAACUGGCCACUAUCUCUUCACAGUGGCCAUUAAUUCCUUUUUCUCCUUCACUAUUUACUCCUUUUGCUUCAGGGAGAGUAUCGAAAGCAUUUCCUGUUUGUCGUUCUUCUAUUUCCUCCUGAACAGUUGGUGAAUCCUGUUGCAGUAAUUCCAUUUUCUCUUCACUUGGAAUCUGGUCUUUGCUUUCUUUUGGAUCUCCUUGUACUGUGUUUUCCUUGUAUGGACAUGUGAUUGAGUCUUCUAGAACUUGCACAUCCUGGGUAUCUGUCUUUUCAUGGAAAGUGUUUGAUUCACUAUUCUCCUCUAUUGCUUUAGAUGCCGAACUGAUUGUGUUAGGAAGUUUCUCUUCUACUGACAUUUUUGUGACAGACAAUUCUGCCUGAUCCUGAUUGAGAUUGUCAGAAAUGUCCCGAGUUAUUUUUCCUUUACUGUCAUCCAAAUUUGUUUGAGCUAGAUUCUUUAUACAGCUCGAAUCUUGGCCCUUUUCCUGCUUGGCUUGGCAGAGAAUUUCAAAAUUAGUAAAAUUAGUUAUCAUAAUGAGAAGCAGAGACAAGUGUAUCUGGUUGUCAGAAAGAAAAAAUAGAUCUGUGUACAUUAUUUUGAACUCACCUCGUGAAUUACUACAUCGACCGUACACAUUUUUGGGUUGCCGGCUUCCUCUUCUUCCUCUUUGUCAUCUUGCAGUUUUUCUUCUCCAUCUUGAAUAAGUUCAGUUUUUUCUACAUGCAGUUCUUCUCUGUUGAUUGUCAGCUCUUUCUGUUUAGUAGAAUGUUCUUCUGCAUGUGAGGUUUCCAUGGAACAAAUCUGAAGAAUGUCAGGUUGUGAACCUUUAGCUAUCUCUAUUGAUGUGGACUCCUUUCUUGAUUCUAUUGUUUCACCAACAAUUAUUUUCUCUUGUAAGCAGUUUGCUUCCUCUAGCUCACCUUCCACAGAUUUCAUAUUUUUUACAUCAGUCAAGAAUUUUUCUGAUGUAUCUUCCUGUUGCAGCUGCUGAAUAUUCUUGUUGCUGGUUGAAUUAUCAGUAAAUUCACUCUCCUUAAAUUCUGCUUCUUCUUCCAUGUUC
rnacentral:lncRNA from 1 species